UCUGUCAACGCCGAAUAUGUAUUGUAUAAUCAAUAUUAUCACAUUAAACACCCUAGAGUGUAAACUAGUCCAGACAUGACAUUUACAAUUCUCAUGAGAGCAGUGAACUCUCAUUUUCGCUCAUUUGCAUGUUUUUUUUUUUCGUCUUCACAGUCUUGCCUUGAAUCAAGAGCACUUCUUAUAGUUCAUCAUGCCAAGUACAUAUGUGCCCUCCCUGAAAACCACAGGUUUCCCAUGGGAAUGUUCCCCAAAGUCCUGGAGAGUCUGCUUAGAGAUCAGGUCAUAACAGAUAAACAGAUUGACUCCACGGACCUUCUGGGAUGUGUGCAUACAGAUGAGUACCUGUCCAACUUUAUCAGUGGCAAAAUAAGUGAGAAAGAUCAGAGACUAACCGGAUUCCUAUAGAGUUCUUGUAUAGAACUACGCUGCAGAUUGCAGAUAUGAGACAGGGUUAUGGAACAGCAUUCAUAUUUAAGGAUGAACUGGAUGUUUUCACCUUCUCAGCGCAUUGUGGGAAAAACGUUCCUGUGAGAAAACAACAGUCACCUAGCAUUGAAGACAAAGAGCAUGUUUCGAAAGGAAACACCUCGGCUGGAUAUAGUGCUCUAUACUUCUGGAGUGGAUCCACACUGGAAGGAUGAACUUGGAAGACUUUAUCUCACAGAUGAAGGACUUUACCAGAGGGAUCUUUAUGUUCUUCAGACAGUCAAAAGGGGCAUUCCUGUGGCUACUGUCAUUGGAGGAGGCUAUUCCAGAGAUAUUGAUCAACUGGUGCCCAGGCACUCAAUAAUUCACAGAGCUGCAUCAAAGGUGAGGUCACAGAAUUCAUAAUGAAAGUAACAUGUAUUUCAUGAACCUGUUUAAAUUGA